GAUGAACGCUGGCGGCGUGCCUAAUACAUGCAAGUCGAGCGAACGGACGAGGAGCUUGCUUCUCUGAUGUUAGCGGCGGACGGGUGAGUAACAUGUGUAUAACCUACCUAUAAGACUGGGAUAAUUUCGGGAAACCGGAUCUAAUACCGGAUAAUAUUUUGAACCGCGUGGUGCAAAAGUGAAAGACGGUCUUUCUGUCACUUAUAGCUGGAUCCGCGCUGCAUUAGCUAGUUGGUAAGGUAACGGCUUACCAAGGCGACGAUGCAUAGCCGACCUGAGAGGGAGAUCGGCCACCCGGGAAGUGAGACACGGUCCAGACUCCUACGGGAGGCAGCAGUCGGGAAUCUUACGCAAUGGGGGAGAGCCUGACAGAGCAACGCCGCGUGAGUGAUGAAGGUGCUCUGAUCGGAAAGCUCUGUUAUUAGGGAAGAACAUAUGUGUAAGUAACUGUGCAGAUAUUGACGGUACCGAAUCAAAAAGCCACGGCUAACUACGUG
rnacentral:rRNA from 1 species